UGGAUGGCUGAGACGAACAGUAGAAUGC
rnacentral:piRNA from 1 species